rnacentral:lncRNA from 1 species
AAGAGUGCGCAUGUGAGUAGGAAUGAAUCCAUUUCACACGUGAUGUCAGAGUAUAAGUAAAGUAUAGUAAAAAUAGGAUAAGAAUUAUAUCAUCGAAGGUACUCUCAUAUGCCUACAUUUGACAAGAAUCCGCUUUGACACAAAAGCUUUGCUACUAAACCUAGAGGGGUGAAAAACAAGGGUGAGUGGGCCUGAAAAUAAAACUUUGUAACACCUUUUCGAAAAUGUAAUAAGCCUUCGCUGUAAAACAAGUAUAGUUUCCAAAUAUAAUAUACUACGUAUAGUAUGAAAACACUUAUUACAAAACAGCAAUAUUUCAGAAGUACAUUAAAUCACAAUAUUUCACCUAUAAAACAUAUAACAGCUAGUAAUCGUAAUAUCUCGCAUAAACGAACAUAUAAUAUUGGG